rnacentral:other from 1 species
GUGUUCCUGCGGCGUUCGUGAAUGGCCUGGUGGUACCCUUGAGCCUAAUCGUCAACCACGGGAAUCAGGCACUUUCGGGUGGUUGUGCAUGUCCGCCUUGAGCGGAAAGCCUGUAAACCCGCAGUCCUUUCCCACCUGAACCACUGGUUCAAGGUCGAUGGCCACCACGGCGCACGCGGUGCACGC